rfam:Puccinia sorghi strain RO10H11247 Scaffold_569, whole genome shotgun sequence.
GUGUACUUAGCUCAAUGGUCAAAGAAUCACACAUGAAUUCUGAGGUUGUGAGUUCAAGUCUCACAGUACACA